rnacentral:lncRNA from 1 species
UCUCUUCUUUUCCUCUCUAGCCCUGUAGCACUUUAAUUUCAGUUGUUCAAGUUUUUCUUCCAAGUCAUUAGGCGGUUUGUCAGAUAUAUCUUUAUGCACAUCUUUCCAGGUUAGUGUGUUUUGUGUUGCUUUACUGCAAUACAUUAGAUAAUCUUGUGACGAUUCAUUUGGAUCUGGUAUAUGUAACUGAUAUUCUUUUAAAGCUUCUCAACUGUUUUUGAUAGUUAAAAGACAGUACCUGUUUAAGUGGCCAAAAGGAGAAUGACUUGUUUUUGGCAUAGCAUAACUGCUAUUAUGAUAUAUUAAUUCCAGAAAUCUCGGCCUCAAAUCCGUCUAUCAUGUUUGGUCUGUUCUCUUCCUUCUUGAUAUGUUUUUGCAUGAAAAACUUUUAUUAAAGGUUUGUCUGUGUAAUAUGUUUCCAAGUAAGAUGAAGGCCAAAAUCACUCUCGAGCUAAAGCAUAGUUAUAUUUGUUCCAAUUCAAAAAAACAUACUUUAAUGUUUUAGAAUACUACUAAAGCUUGAUUGUUUACUGGAAAGUCGAAACUAGAGAGGAAUAGCUUCGUAACUACGCUGUGGCACCUUCUUGAAGAGCGCCCAAGCCAGAUCAAGGUAUAGGGGAAACUGCGCUAUGGCAAACAGCGUCACCGGCAGGCAAGUCACUGCAUAUACCGGAAAUGCCGCGUAUU